GGAAGGCACUAUAAUUUGAUUUGAUUGCUGCUGUUCCUUGUUUCUAUGAGUGUUAAGUGAACCAAAUAAUUCCUGUUUGAAAUGAUUCAUUUUCAGUAGAUUUAAGUGGGUUCAAUUCCUAAAAUUUCUCGCCAAUGUUCCAAAUUAUGUUGGUUAUGAGUUGGACAUUAAUGGUGGUGGAAUUGACUAUUUGAAGCUUGUUUCUUCCCCCCUUGUUUCUCCUUACUUUCAUGCAG
rnacentral:misc_RNA from 1 species